GAUCACCAGUGGAGUACGCUCACUUUUGGUCGAACGUUUCGGUCUCACGUGAAAGACGUCGCUCCAGAUUGAACGGUUGUACGCACAGUUUUCGGUGUUAUCGUUGUCGACGGUGUUCCGAGAGUUCCGUUCGUCGGACGGUUUCGAUUCGAGGAAAAUUUAUCCCCGAAAGUCCGAUGAGUUGGCGGACUAGAUUCCCGGUACGGAAUAAGUCAUCGACGCCAACCCGUCCCAGUCUUCGGCGUAAUGAACUAGGCGGUGUAGACCGCAGGCAGGAACUAGAGGCGAUCUGGAGCUGACUUUCGGCUGAAACCGGUUCUCCUGCCGUCUUUCGUGCGCACGUCCUCCGUACACGGCACGUCACAACGCAUCGUAUCCUUUAACGGGACGAACACCGGGAUUUCGUGAAUUCGGGGCGUGUAAUCGCAAUUGUCAACACCCGUCGGCCGAUCGAUAUCGAUUCACGGAACGCAUGUAACGGUAUCGCGCCGCGGGUUUCUUCAAAUAAUCGAUUUUGCGCCUUAUUCCUGUACACGACCGAACGAAACUGAAAUUCACCCGACUGCCGCGGAUUAUCUCGGUAAUGAAUUACUAUUUCCGAGUAAUCUUUUUCACCGUACCGAUAAGAUUACACGCUGUGUGCCAACAUUGAAUUCGCAAACCGAAAUGGAACUGUCUGUACACCAGGCUAAGAUAAAUCGCAUUAACGGAGGAUAUUAACGGAAUCAUCGUGCUCGCUGCGUGCGUAAUCCAGGAAUGAUUGUGAGAACGGAAGCGUGCGCGGGGAUAACGGCUGGAGACAAUCAACGAUGACCAUCAGCGGCCUUGCAUUCAGCGAAUAAUUAAUUUACAAUUAACAUGGACGCUCGAUUCGUCGGCUGUUCGAGAACUCGCGGAUCGUUUCCGAUGGGAACCGCCGGGACGCGGACGCUGGGAUCGCCGUAAGGAUUCGACGUCUGAGCAGACAUCGUGCUCGGCGGGAAUAGGAGCAAUGGGAUCACCGGUCGAAUUCCGGGCAAUCGUGCUAAUUAACAAAUUCAAAUCAUUAAAGAAGCCGGCUGCGAGCACUAGAAAGAUGACGAUGAACCCAGCCGGUGGUCCAGGGACCCCGGAAGAGUACCAAUGGAAGAGGUGACGUAUCACCCAGUGAUGCGUAAACGACGUGGAUUGGCCAGCGCCGUUCUGGGCCUGAUAAUGGGCCUUCUCCUAGGUAUCCUGAUUCAAAGCUUCCGAUUGCUGUCCUCGAAUCAACAGCCAAGAUCCAACGCGUAUUACUCCUCGAUGCCGGGAGCACGUGUCCUGCUGAGGCCGUCGUCGACCAGUAACAUUCCCAGGCUGAACGACGACGAGCAGAUAAACAGUUCGUCGACGAGCCUGGUCUUCGUGGGUGUCAUGACAGCUUCUAAGUACCUAGACACCAGGGCGAAAGCCGUGUACGAGACCUGGGGUAAGGAGCUUCCAGGUAAAAUCGCUUUCUUCUCGUCGGAAAGUUCCACUGUGCCAACGAACUGUCCCGAGCUGCCGUUGGUCGCUCUGCCGCGCGUUGACGACACCUAUCCGCCGCAGAAGAAAUCGUUCAUGAUGCUCCAGUACAUGUGGAACAAUUACGGCGACCGUUUCGAGUGGUUCCUCAGGGCCGACGACGACGUUUACGUGAGGACCGACCGUUUGGAGAAACUCCUCAGGUCCGUCAACUCCAAAAGAGCCAUGUACAUCGGCCAGGCGGGCAGAGGGAACUCCGAGGAAUUCGGCCUGCUGUCCUUGGAGUACGACGAGAACUUCUGCAUGGGUGGACCGGGUGUAAUCCUCUCGAGGGAGACCUUGAGGAGGAUCGUGCCGCACAUCAAGUACUGCCUGAGACAUUUGUACACCGCGCACGAGGACGUCGAGCUGGGAAGGUGCGUGCAGAGGUACGCCGGCAUCCCGUGCACCUGGAGCUACGAGAUGCAGUCCAUUCUAUACCACAACAGCAGCGGCGCGCAGGCGUUCACCGGAAACCUGAAGAAAAAAGAAGUCCACCGAGCUAUUACUUUGCAUCCUGUCAAAAGCCCGCCGCACAUGUACAGGCUGCACAAUUACAUGAGGGCUCUUCGGAUACAAGAUCUGCAACAGGAGAGGCUGAACCUGCACAGGGACAUAUACGCGAUGGCGAAGCAGCUGGAUAUCGGCGUCGAGAAUUUAAAGGGUUUCGAGAUUGCCGACGGCGUGCCGCUGUUUCCGGUUGAUCCUCACUCGUCGGAGUAUCCGGGGGACACGGAAAUACUGGGUGUUCCAGCGGGGCUGCAAUCGUUCAAACCGACGACCAGCGACGAUGUAAUUCCCUGGGAUUUCCUCUCAAGGUCAGAGUACAGUUUAGCGGACUCGAAUCCGAGGCGGAGGAUUCACAGCGAUAUAAAAGAAGGCCUGGAGGAUAUCACGCGUGAAGUAAUGGCCUCCAUAAACGCCUUUUCGCGACAGCGCGGCCGAGUCGUUGAGGAAAGGUCAGCCCUGUACGGUUACAGACGGGUGGAUUCCUACGGCGCCGACACGAUUCUCGAUCUUCUGCUGGUAUACCGGAAGUACAGGGGCAGAAAGGUUACGCUGCCAGUUAGAAGACACGUUUAUCUGCAUCAGCACUUCACCGGACUGGAAAUACGGGAAACAGUGAACGGGGAAGAGGUGAACGAGGCUCGAAGAUACCCGGAGAACGACAAAUCGCUGCAAAACAUAUUCCGCGGCGGUUUUCUGAACUUGAAUUUCAACUCCGAGGAGGAGGAUCCGGUCAGGAGCAAGACUAUUUAUUUCGUUCUACCUCUGGCCGGCAGGCACGAGGUUUUCCAAAGGUUCCUACAAAACUACGAAGAGAUCUGCCUCACCAGCGACGAGAGGACGGCCCUGCUGGUCGUCCUCUAUCGCCACAAAACCGAGGACUCCUACAACAGAACGAUAGAUCUGAUCGAGCAGUUCAAGUACAAGUAUCGUAGCGCCAGUAUCGACAUACUACCGGCGUCCGGCACGUUCUCCAGAGCGGUGGCCCUCGACCUAGGCGCGUCGAAGCUGAAUCACGACGAUCUGAUGUUCUUCGUCGACGUCGACAUCGUGUUCACCGCGUCCGCGCUCCAUCGGAUUCGAGCGAACACUCUUCUCAACAGGCAGAUCUAUUUCCCGGUGGUAUUCAGUCAGUUCGAUCCGAAGGUCGUGCACGCGGAUGGGAAGAGGCACGAGACGUUCGCCAUCGAUGAGAUCUCCGGUUACUGGCGGCAGUUCGGCUUCGGGAUCGUCUCGUUGUACAAACAGGACUAUAGAACUGUCGGUGGUUUCGACUUGUCUAUUCAAGGAUGGGGGAAGGAGGACGUGGACUUCUUUGAGAAGGUCGUCAAGUCCAAUCUCAGGAUCUUCAGGGCAGCUGACAAGGGUCUGGUGCACGUGUACCACGACGUGGAGUGCAGCAAGGAUCUCUCCGACGUGCAGCUGUCCAUGUGCAUGGGGACCAAAGCCGACACGUACGCUGGAAUGGAAACGCUGGCCGGAAUGAUCUACGGCAAUCCGGAGAUCCUGCGGUUCGCCAAAGCUAAAAGAGCGAAUUUAACGAGUUCUGCCGGUUGAGGAUAGAGUCUGUUAACGACGGGCACCGCCUCGGUUGUUAAGGAAGGAAUCACAGUUGCAAUUACGCAACGCCGAAACGUUUCGUAACUAGAACAUUUUGUACAUACGCGAUACGAUUAAUGAUAGUUCUUUGGUUUACGAGUACCGGAUAUUUCAUACCGACAUGAAUUCACCAAAGCCAUCGCCGUUCUACGUUUAAGUCCGCCAUUACGCUGGUAAUGGAAGCUUGCUGUAUCGGUAAAACAGAACGCAAACCCGAGAUUUAAUUUAAUUACUAUCGUAGUGUGUGUCCCGUUGAAAUGUAACGCGUGAAUGUGAACGUUUGCGCCCGAGGCGUUAAACGAAGUUGAUUUAAAGAUUCCGGCAUUAUUCACCGUAGGAAUGCGGCGCACCUCUUUCUGACUACUCCUAACGCCGAAUGCAUUCUCUUCUGACAAUGGGAAGUGCAUUAUUAUUUUUUAUAAAUUGUAGAUAUAUACAUACAUAUAUAUAUAUAUACAUAUACGUGUCCGUUUCUCUAGCGACAUCUCGGAUCGUAAAAAUGGUACAAAAGUUACUAGAGUUCUCGUGGGACAGGUGAACCGUGAAUGAUUGAUCCGAGACAGUUCCUGAGAUGCCAAUACUCCUAAGAACGUUCUGCUGAAUCAGUUGUGGGGUCGUGCGUGGCCAGAAACUGUAUGAAUCGGACGAGCCGAUUGCACAACCUGGGAUCUGCCCGUCUCGGUGUCUGCGGUGAAGGAGAUCGGCUCGGGAAUGACCGCACCGUUAUGAUACUCCUAUUUCCGUUCGGAUUCACGGUUCAAGCGCCGUGAGUAAACGUAGAAGGAAUUUUUUAUCAAACCGUGACCGUGCAAAUUAAAUUCUCGUAUAGAAAAUUGAUUGAGUUUUAGAGGGAAAGUCAACCUUGUACAAAGACCCUGAGCGUUAAGAGUAAUCGAACAUUGUAAUGGAAGUAUCGUUGAAAUGCGACGAGAGUUAUGGCUUCUGUUUAGAAAACAAUUAAUUUGGAAAGGAAAAUACCGUGCAGAAUGUAGAUGCAUCGCGGUUUGGCACGUCCAUCGAUUGCACGGAGAUGCUUCUACCCCGGGAAAGCGAGGAAGGGGAGAAAGUUACGGCAAAAUCAUCGGCUUCCCGUCUGAGCACCAUUACCUCCUCCCUAAACACACAAAGAGGAAGAGAAGUUACAGGCUACACCUUCCAGCCGAUGCCGAUGAUAAUUUACGGUCUGGCUGCCGAUUGAUUUAUGAUUCAGCGUCCAUUCAGCAGAACAAUUGGGCGCUUAAGAAUUACAUAGUUCAAACGGAAGUUGAAUGGGCACGUGGGUCUAAUAGGUCUCGACGUAUUCAAACGAUUAAAUGUUAAUCAAGGAUUGUUCUUAAUGGAAAAUACUAGUAAAUGGCUUGGCACUGUUAAAGAAAACAAGAGAAUUUGCGAUGUUGGUCAAUUACGGAAAUGGUUCGUGAUGUGAAACUCUGUUGGGUGGCUAGAGUAAACGGAAAAUUAAGAGAAAUAAGGAUAUAAAAGGGAUUUCCUUAUAAAGCUAGAAAAUGAUUGAAAAAUUAUAGGAAGAUAUUAUUAGAAAUUGAUCCCUAUUCUUUAAUAAAUGGAAUACUUCCGAUUUUCUUGUAAAGGUACAAAUAAUUGAAUUUAAUAAUGCUGUUUAUAUACAUUAUGAGUUUUGGCUUCUCACAGCACCCAGUUUUUUUUAUUUACAUCAACAAUCAUCCCAAUACCAGUUUCAUGACCAUCACUAUGAUAUUUAGUAAUAUUAAUGGAACUGAAACAAAGAAAAAUAGAUUGUAUGUAUAAAUGUUAAAGAAUAUAAUAGUAAGCAUUAUAAUCAUUAUAGAAAAUAUUUAAACUUACCCCUUGCCACUGUUCUUAUAGAUCUAACUAAGUUUAGCAUUUGUGCUUUUACUGUAGGUCUCUCACCAAAUCCUUGAACAUUCUGCCAUGAUGCCCAACCAACUAAAAAAUUUAAAAGUUUUAUUAAAUGUGCAACAUUUUAUUCUAACAUAAAGAAAACAACAAGUAAUGGUACUUUGGCAUGAAGCCAACACAACAAAAUUCUAUAACCUAUGGCCGCUGUCAGCGGAAUAUUAUCAUUCAACUUUUUAUGUAAAUCGAUAGCAAAUCUAAUGAGAAUAUUUAAGAAAAUCACCUUUAGCGAGAAACCUCUCUUCAUUUAAAACGCAAACGGCGUUUAAACAGAGCAAAGUUGCCUCAAAAAGUGUCCACAAGGUAAACGCCAUGUUUACGGUAUUGAAGUGAGCGU